rnacentral:lncRNA from 1 species
AGCAUAACCCAUAAUCCCUACUUCCUAAUUCCUCCAGUUCCCGUCAGAUGCACCACCGCCCCUUGAGUAACGAGAUCCUCCAUCACCAUAUCCGCGGUCCCGGCCUCCACCGUAACCACCACCACCACCACCACCAUAGCCACCGCCUCCACGAUUGUAACCACCACCACCACCAUAGCCACCAUCACGGCGUCCACCACCUCCAUAUCCACCGCCGCCGCCACGGCUGUAUCCACCAUUACCACCUCCGCUUCCGCGAGACUGAGCUUCAUUCACAGUAAUAUUACGACCAUCAAGAUUCUGACCAUUCAUUCCUUCAAUAGCAUC